rnacentral:rRNA from 1 species
GACGAACGCUGGCGGCGUGCUUAACACAUGCAAGUCGAGCGGUAAGGCCCUUUCGGGGGUACGACGAGCGGCGAACGGGUGAGUAACACGUGGGUGACCUGCCCUCAGCUCUGGGAUAAGCCUGGGAAACCGGGUCUAAUACUGGAUAUGACUCCAUGACGCAUGUUGUGGGGUGGAAAGCCUUGUGCGGCUGAGGAUGGGCCCGCGGCCCAUCAGCUAGUUGGUGGGGUAACGGCCACCAAGGCAGUGACGGAUAGCUGGUCUGAGAGGACGGCCAGCCACACUGGCACUGAGACACGGGCCAGACUCCUACGGGAGGCAGCAGUGAGGAAUCUUGCGCAAUGGACGAAAGUCUGACGCAGCGAUGCCGCGUGGGGGA